UAUUUAUUUACAGAGGUUGGACAAAAUAAUGUGAACAGCCAGUUAUAGGGUUCAUAUCAUUUGUUUAGGCAAGCUAAAACAAAAGUGGCUUUUAUCUUUUAUUUGUCUUUUCAUUGUUUAUAUUCUGUAGUUUGUUUUGUUUAUCAGUGUAUUUGUGUUCAGCAGUGUUUACUACAAGCCUUGGCUGGAAUUUGGUGAUUUGGUCAGAAGUGUUGACGGGGUCGCAGUUUUCCAGCACAGGAAAAAUGCAGAAGAAAAAAGGCAUCAGUGUAUCAGUGGCAAAUGCUCUUCAAGAGAGCAUGGCAGGUUGUAAAAAAAUGCAACAAUACAAAACAAAAAGCUCAACAAAGUGGGCUUUGUUUCACCACAGCCUGACACAGAUUCAACUGAUCCUCUGCCGGAUCCAUCUGUUCUGCAGGAUCCAGCUGAUCCUCAACUGGAUUCCUUCAUGUUUCAAUCAACAGCACAGGAUCCAGCUGAUCUUGAACCGGGUCCAUCUGUCCUCAAGACAGCAGCUCUGCAGGAUCCAGCUGAUCCUCAACUGGCACAACAAAGUGGGCCCUGUUUCACCACAGCCUGGCACAGAUCCUCAGCCAGAUCUAUCUGUUCUUGAGCUAAUGGCUCUGCAGGAUCCAACCGGAUCCAUCGGUCCUCGAGACAGCAGCUCUGCAGGAUCCAGCUGA
ensembl:lncRNA